rnacentral:lncRNA from 1 species
GUGAUCCACCCACCUCGGCCUCCCAAAGUGCUGGGAUUAAAGGCGUGAGGCAAUGCGCCCGGCCAGGAGUUUUUACAAGGAGGAAGCUGAAGCUGGAAAGGCACGGAAAAGGAUCCUCCCCUAGAGCCUCAGAAGGAAGCAGCCGUGCGGACACCUUGGUGUCAGGCUUCUGGCUCACUGAACCGAGUCACGUACAAUCACAUUGUGAAACUUGGGAAACAACGCUUCCUUCCUUCAAAGUCA